GAGGGCGAAGAUGUGGAGGACAGAAAAUCCCUAGCCAGUGAUACGGCCUCUGGUUCGUAGCUGUGUCCUGAGGUUGGAACUGAACAGACGUUUUCUGUAACUCAGGGUGUUCAGCAGUAACUUAGGGUCUACGAUGGGCCCGAGUCCAAGGUGGCGUUGCUCCUGUUUGACGGAAAAGACAGAGCUUACCGUUUCCCACAGCUGGACUCGACGUUCGCAGGCCCGAGCUGGAAUGCGGGGGCAACUGGAGUCAGACCGCGAGGACGUUAAACAGCAAGGAGAAAACGUGGUGGCAGUUCCAGG
rnacentral:lncRNA from 1 species